AUGCAGUUCCACUUGGCAACGGAAACCAUCCUGCAGCAGCUGGACAUCGCGCAAGAGAAAAGGGCACUUACUCCUUUAGAAUUCCAUCUGCGGAAGCUGUUGAAAUUGAAGAUCGUUGGCCUGGCUGCCCUCGAGCGCGCAAGAAAGAGGUAGGCCUCUCGGUUGUCGUGGCUCAAAGCAGGGGAUGCCAAGGCAGCUUUCUUCCAGGCCAAGAUCACGUCUAGAAGGAGAAAGAACUUCAUUCAGAGUUUGCAAAAGGGGGGCAGACAAGCAAUAGCACACGAUGACAAGGCGAAAAUGAUUCAUGAGCAUUUUCAAGAACUCCUCGGCGAGAAGAGAGUGCGUGCAUGCACCCUCAACUUGGCAGCACUGGACUUGCCGACUUUGGAUGGUCAGGGUCUGGAUAAUCCUUUCACUGAAGAUGAAGUG
rnacentral:rRNA from 1 species